rnacentral:rRNA from 1 species
GACGGAGGGUGCAAGCGUUGUUCGGAUUGACUGGGCGUAAAGGGCGUGUAGGCGGUUGGUCAAGUCUGAUGUGAAAGCCCGGGGCUCAGCUUCGGAAGUGCAUCGGAAACUAGCCAGCUGGAGCGCGAUAGAGGAGGGCGGAAUUCCUGGUGUAGCGGUGAAAUGCGUAGAUAUCAGGAGGAACACCAAUAGCGAAGGCAGCUCGCUGGGACGUUACUGACACUGAGGCGCGAAAGCGUGGGGAGCGAACAGG